rnacentral:rRNA from 1 species
CAAUAGCGUAUAUUAAAGUUGUUGCAGUUAAAAAGCUCGUAGUUGGAUUUCGGGGCAGCCUGGCUGGUCCGCCGCAAGGCGAGUACUGGUCAGCCGCCCUUCCUCUCGAAAGCCCCGACUGCUCUUUAUUGCAGUGGUCGGGUAGUUCGGGACGUUUACUUUGAAAAAAUUAGAGUGUUCAAGGCAGGCCUACGCCUGAAUACAUUAGCAUGGAAUAAUGGAAGAGGACCUCGGUCCUAUUUUGUUGGUUUCCAGGACCGAAGUAAUGAUUAAGAGGGACAGUUGGGGGCAUUCGUAUUUAAAUGUCAGAGGUGAAAUUCUCGGAUUUAUGAAAGACGAACAACUGCGAAAGCAUUUGCCAAGGAUGUUUUCAUUAA